rnacentral:rRNA from 1 species
UACGUAGGGGGCAAGCGUUGUCCGGAAUCAUUGGGCGUAAAGCGCGUGUAGGCGGCUCGGUAAGUCCGCUCUGAAAGUCCAGGGCUCAACCCUGGGGAUGCGGGUGGAUACUGCCGGGCUCGAGUACGGAAGAGGCGAGUGGAAUUCCUGGUGUAGCGGUGAAAUGCGCAGAUAUCAGGAGGAACACCAAUUGCGAAGGCAGCUCGCUGGGACGUUACUGACGCUGAGACGCGAAAGCGUGGGGAGCAAACAGG